rnacentral:rRNA from 1 species
GACAGAGGAUGCAAGCGUUAUCCGGAAUGAUUGGGCGUAAAGCGUCUGUAGGUGGCUUUUCAAGUCCGCCGUCAAAUCCCAGGGCUCAACCCUGGACAGGCGGUGGAAACUGCCAAGCUGGAGUACGGUAGGGGCAGAGGGAAUUUCCGGUGGAGCGGUGAAAUGCGUAGAGAUCGGAAAGAACACCAACGGCGAAAGCACUCUGCUGGGCCGACACUGACACUGAGGAACGAAAGCCAGGGUAGCGAACGGG